CUAAGAAUGAAGAAGAAGAAUUCAACACUAGACCACUAUCUGUUCUGAUGAUGAGUAUUAAAAAUGAUACUCAUGUAUGUUUUUUUAACAUUAGAUAGUAACAUGGAUUCUGAGGCAGCCCCUAGAAGGCAUUUUAUGUCUGAGGUUUUAACCAGACACUUUAACUUCAGUAGCAAGAAGCUUCUGGGUCGUGGCAUGGCUUUUCAUAGGCACCACAACAUGGUUCAGGAUCAAAAUUUUAAAAAUAGUUUAUUCGAUGAAAACUAAAUAGUGAAGAAGCAAGAAUCAAAUAAUCAUCCAGCCAACUGCUGAACCUGAAAGUACAAUUUUUCGAAAUCAGAUUGGAAAUGUCCUUUGCAGUAUGCAGGAACAACUUUUUGAAUGAUUUGCCUUCCUUGGAUCCAGAAUUAUGUGUUCAUCUUAAUUUUCUAUAUUUUCCAUAACUAAAUUAAGCUGGAGAAAUAAUACAUCUUAUAUGUCUAGAUGGUUUACUUGAUGAACAUUAUUAAGAGGAAUAUUAAAUGUGAUGUUUAGAACGAUGAAAUAAUCUUGUGGUUUUCUAGGGUAUUUUCCAGAUAAAAUACUAGGUUUUAUAAAUAGUUUCCAUUUAUUUGCUGCACACAUGUAUUCUGCUGGACCAAUUGAAUGGUUUAUCAUGUUCAAUUGACGCUCUCUGGUUUAUCCAAUCUGGUUUGCUUCUCCUUUCUCAGUCUUGAUCAUUUCCCUAACAGUUUCUUUCUUUGAUUGGGUC